UUAAGAUAAAAUUGAAAAGGGUAAUUGAGGAAGUAAACAUAGAAAAACAUGUCUUUAUAUAACAUUUCUGAUAUACCAACAACAACACACUCCACCAAUUGUCUCUUCCUCUCACGCCAUGUUCCAUUUCUCCAAAUAAAUUCAAUUCUUUCUUGCAUCUACAAGAAAUUCAUUCAAGAUCAAGCUUCUAAAUUUCUAAGUAACUAAGGUAUGAAUAUUGGUUCAAAUCUCCUUUUCCAUUGUUUGAGCUUCAAAACAAAAUCGAAAUUUUACCUCCUCUUGGUCUGGUGUUGUUGUUAAAACUGAUUGGUAUGAUUAGAAUGGUUAUGGCUGAAUUCUAUGGAAUUUUAGUUAAAAAUUAGUAUGACAGUACAGGUGCUAAUCGAGUCAUAGCUGUUGUUGUGUAGCCCAGACUUGUGUAAUUUUUGGAGUUUCGCAUUCUACACUUAAUUCCGUUUAGCUUGGAUAUAAAUUUGGUAUGUUUUGGAUUAGAAAUGGAUUCAGAAAACGCGUUUGAAGUUUCGAUAUUGAUGCUGGAAACUGCUUAUGGGUUUUGGCAUGGAUUUUGUGGAAUAAGCUAAAAUGUGAGUUUAAGUUGGGUGAAUGAUUCCAGAACUAAAUAUGUAUGCUUAAUUGGCUGAGUAAGAGUUUGGUGUGAAGUUGAAAUGCCAAAAUUAGAAGUUGGAAGUCAGUAGCAGUCUUACGUAGAAAAUCUGUGGCGCGGUUGCAUAUGUGAGCAGCACCAUCAGAUGGUUCUAAGCGGGAGAGAUGGCUCGGUAUUGCUAGUAAUUUCAGGAUCAAGGAACUUUUAGUUCAUCAGUUGCCCCCGGUGCAGACACCAAUAAUAAUUGGGUAGUAGGAAAUCCACGGAGAGGAAAGUUACUAUUCUCAUCCCCACUUAUUUGAUUUUAGAUAAGCAGGUUGUUCGAGGAUCGUGGCUUUGAAGCCUGAAGAUUCAGAUACAUGGAUUAUAUUAUAUAUGGAGCUGACAUUAUGUUAAUCUUAUGUUUGUAUAAGAUUCAGUCUAUUUAUGUUCAGUUGUUAGCUCGAUUAUGUAUUCAUUCAUUGGACUUUUGUAAUCCUAUUCAUGUAUUUGGUAUUUAUGUAAUGAAAAUUAAUGUUUUCCGAUUCA